rfam:Glossina austeni unplaced genomic scaffold Scaffold134, whole genome shotgun sequence.
GGCGCGUUGGCAGAAUGGUGUAUGCAAUGGAUUGCAAAUCCAUUUAUCUCGGUUCAAUUCCGAGACGCGCCU